UACAGAGGUCUCAAGCGUUGUUCGGAUUUAUUGGGCGUAAAGGGUGCGUAGGCGGCGCGGUAAGUCGGGUGUGAAAUCUCGGAGCUUAACUCCGAAACUGCAUUCGAUACUGCCGUGCUUGAGGACUGGAGAGGAGAGUGGAAUUUACGGUGUAGCGGUGAAAUGCGUAGAUAUCGUAAGGAAGACCAGUGGCGAAGGCGGGUCUCUGGACAGUUCCUGACGCUGAGGCACGAAGGCCAGGGGAGCAAACGGG
rnacentral:rRNA from 1 species